rnacentral:lncRNA from 1 species
CCAAGAUCGUGCCAUUGCACUCUAGCCUGGUGACACAGUGAGAGUCCAUCUCAAAAAAAAAAAAAAAGUAUAUAUUUUGAAGUUUUAAUAAUGUGAGAAAAUGCCCAUGAUUUAAUAUUAAGAGAAAAGUGGAUAUAAAGUUACACAGUAUAUAUAGUCUGCUCUUACAAGCAAGAACACAUACACACAAGUAUAUAUAAAGAACUGGAAAGAAAUACAGUCAUCUUUUAACUGAUUAUAUUUUGGUUGUAGGAUAUGGGUUACUUUUUUUCCUUACCCUUUUCUCUGUAUUUUCUAAAUUUAAUAUCAAAGAUGUAUAUUACUUUCAACAAUUCUAAUUUUUAAAGUAAAAAAGUUUAAAAUCUAAAAUAAUGACCUACAACAAAUCAUUUUAUUACAGAAAAAUGUUUAAAUUCAUGUUAAUAGUUGUGUCCAAAUUCAGAGCAUUUUCAUAUGUGCAAAGUCUCUCAGGAAAGAGUUCACUUACGUUGAGCUUCAAAAGGGAGAGAGAAUCAAAGCCUGAGAAGAAGAAAAAGUUUAUUUGAGCAGUAAAAAUAUAGGGACCUCUGUUACUCUGGAAGUAGAAAAGAGGAAUGAAUGCUUUAUGAAUGAUAUGGGUUUAAAAGUUGGGAAGGAAGGAAUCUGAGAAGCUCAGAUUUCUUUUUCUUGCAGCAGCUUAAAGCACACUCAGCUUGUAGAGUAGUAUGAAACCUCCCUGCAUGCAUUUACGUAUUUCCUCCCCUUCCCUUUAUAGGCACAUAUAUAGACACACACACAGCUCAUUAAUUCCUUUAAUUAAGAGAAAUGGAUUUUGUCUUCUAUUAAGUACUUGCUUUGUUAUACUCAAUAUGGCACCAUAAUCUUUGAUCUUCCUUUAAUAUAUUUCUUUGGAAAUUUCACAACUAAGUUAAUAUCGAGACUGCUUCUUAUGGAUAUUAAAAUAACUUCCUAAACCUAGGUUCUGAUAUACGUUUUUAAAUGAUCACAAUACAGUUUGCUGUAAUGCAUGUCAGAGCAGUUUGGUCUAGAAUUGUCUUGUGACAGCAAUUAUAGCAAGAUCUAAUUCAAGCUCCACAAAUCGAGAAUUGUGAUAAUUUGUAUUAAUAAUAGAGGUAAGAAUGAAUUUCACUAUUUAAAAGAUUAGAAUUUAGGUAAAUUUAUAGCAUAUGUAAGAUUUUAUAGAAAUAUUUACCUAAGGGGUAGUUAUUUUAACUGUCUAUGUACAGCAGUAUAAGUGAAGGCCACUCUGAUGUGCUGGUUUCAUAUGGGAGAAACUAUAAUUAACCGAAUGCAUAAUAUAUAGCCAGCAAGACAGUUUAUAUACAGUGUCAUUUGGUCCUUAGAAGAAUUCUUUGAAAUAGAUGAUUUUCAUCUCCGUCUUAUAAGUAUGAAAGCUGAAGUUCUAAGUUCAGUAACUCAUCUAAGGUCACUUAGUAAGCUGCAGAGGCAGGAUUUGAACACUGCUUGAUCUGAUUACUCAGUCCAUAAACAUUUCAUGUAUCACACAACUUCCAUUCUUGUCCAUUUAUUGAAGUUGCCUUUUUAUCUGCAACACUCCUCUUUACCUUGUAUACUUUAAAGUGAUUAAAAU